rnacentral:rRNA from 1 species
GAUGAACGCUGGCGGCGUGCCUAAUACAUGCAAGUCGAGCGAACGGACGAGAAGCUUGCUUCUCUGAUGUUAGCGGCGGACGGGUGAGUAACACGUGGAUAACCUACCUAUAAGACUGGGAUAACUUCGGGAAACCGGAGCUAAUACCGGAUGAUAUUUUGAACCGCAUGGUUCAAAAGUGAAAGACGGUCUUGCUGUCACUUAUAGAUGGAUCCGCGCUGCAUUAGCUAGUUGGUAAGGUAACGGCUUACCAAGGCAACGAUGCAUAGCCGACCUGAGAGGGUGAUCGGCCACACUGGAACUGAGACACGGUCCAGACUCCUACGGGAGGCAGCAGUAGGGAAUCUUCCGCAAUGGGCGAAAGCCUGACGGAGCAACGCCGCGUGAGUGAUGAAGGUCUUCGGAUCGUAAAACUCUGUUAUUAGGGAAGAACAUAUGUGUAAGUAACUGCGCACAUCUUGACGGUACCUAAUCAGAAAGCCACGGCUAACUAC